UCAUGGGUUCGAAUGGAAGCCCUUUUCCAUUUGAGGCAGGGAAAUACCAGCCUUUAUAGGGUACUACGGAGAUUUUAUUGUUAGACAAAGCAUUUAGUUUUUUUCACAUACAGUUUUUUUCACUGUUAAGUUGUAUUUAAUGGCCUUAAUGGCUCAAAUAAAAAUUCAUCAUUUGAAUCAGCACAGCCAGAAAUGGUGUGUAAAGAUGAUUAAGGAAGCACACUCAGCGUGAACUUUUAAAUUAUUUUCAAUUUGAUUUUCCUUGAGUGACAGGCUCCCAAUUGGAAAUAGUGCAUGUUUUGGCUAUUAGUUCCAAUCAACGGAAAAAAAGCACUGGAACCAAGGAAUAGUAAUGCUUACAUUUAGAUUUUUGUUCCUGUUGAUAAGUUUUCAUGGGUAGAUCAUGAGCAAAAUUCAAGAAAGGAAAAUACAUUUUUUUUUUGUUCAGGAAGAUGACCUAUACUAAAUGUAUAAAGUUGUUGUUGUUGUAGUAAUAAUAGAGACAUUUCAUGGACCAUAAUCGUAUUAUUAUUUGUAGAAUAAGAAAUACAGAAUAGCCUAUGUAUGGGCUCAUAUUA